UAACAAUACCCCUUUUUCAUGGUUAUUUUCGCCAAAACAGUGAAAUGUAUGGUCGGAAACUAUGAAUUCCAAUGUGCAUUCACGGUAUAGUGGACGAUAAUAAGCAUUGUGUAAACCAUUAAAUUUAUGGUUUGUGAAUAUGGAAUUCAUGGUUUUUUCAUUGUACAAUUCUAUUCGGGAUGAUAUAAGCGAUACUGGCAACAAAGUUUUUAAAUUACCCAUCCCCAUGUAGAGAAUUGGCGUGCGCUGAAAAUUUACCCAACUUUACAUCGAAUAUACACGGCGUGUGAAUAAACAAAAUAUACCACGCUCAGCGUGUAGAAACGGCCCAGGAACUGUCAUCACUGUUUCCGGGUGAGUCAAACAAAAGUCGCCGCACGAGCAAGUGGUGGAGAAAUCUUGUCGCUGGGAAAACCCGGAAUUCCGGGAGGAAAACGCAACCGAGGGGCUUCAGUUCGCACCAGCAGCUAGCGAAGAUUCAUCCAGACGCACUCUAAGCCACGUUGCUUGCUGAGCGGUUAAGCUGAAGAGGAACCGAGAUUGGAGUCGUCCAGACGGAACUUCAAAGCAACAAACGGGCAAAAAUAAUCGUGGGCCGCACAGACGGCCUUUUUUUUGACACCCUUGAUUCUUCUCAUUUGUCGCUUGCGGAGCGCCUUUUCCGUGCCAUCAACCACGGUGACAUUGCGGAUAAUUCCACCAGUACCCCCUCACUGUUUUGUUGGUGUUUCGGUGACAAGUUCCUUCUUCGGCCGGAGCGGAAUUGAUCCUCAGUGAAACUUGAACAAUCAGAUCGACAAUUGGAGGGGAACUGCUAAAGAGGGUCCGGAUCAGCAGUAGCGUGGCAUCAAAGUUUUCAUUCUCCAUCCGGUGUGGGACAGAUCGGCUUUGACCAACUAGCCAUCAAGUUCCCGCCCGAUGAUUCAUCCGGAGAUGAAUGGGUCGGCUGCAAGGCAAGGUAAAGGUGCUCAUCGAUUUCCGUGGCGCAGAUGCCGGGACGGCAACAGCAGUUCCAAGGGCUGGAUUUCAUCUUUAGCAGCUCCAGCGGUGCGCGAAGGCAGUGUCCCGCGAAAAUCCAUAUCAGUGACGUCAGAAAAAUCAGGGAGGAGAGUGGCACAGUCAUGCAGGUGGCACUAUCGGCGCCAUCCAAGCCGUUUGGAAGCACGACACCGGAUCUCAAGGAGGAGCACCCGGACGGAGGCGGGACAAAAAGGAGCCAUCCUGUUGGCAUGUCGUUGUUGUGAAAUCCUGAUGUAAGUACACGCACAUGGACGGGGAAGUGUGGGAUUUUAUUCAAACUGUUGCCCCAAUAUAACCUCAACCAAACUUAA